UACGUAGGGUGCAAGCGUUGUCCGGAAUUAUUGGGCGUAAAGAGCUCGUAGGCGGCUUGUCGCGUCGUUCGUGAAAACUCACAGCUCAACUGUGAGCUUGCGGUCGAUACGGGCAGGCUAGAGUUCGGUAGGGGAGACUGGAAUUCCUGGUGUAGCGGUGAAAUGCGCAGAUAUCAGGAGGAACACCGGUGGCGAAGGCGGGUCUCUGGGCCGAUACUGACGCUGAGGAGCGAAAGCGUGGGGAGCAAACGGG
rnacentral:rRNA from 1 species